CUGUAAACAUUGAAAACGGAAAGACCUGCCGUUUCGAUCAAUUUUUCCCCCAGACGUUUUUGUACUUUUGGCGGACAGUUUCGUGGCUAGAGUUAAUGGCAAAGCUAAUACCACUGACAGGGAUAAUCUUGGUAGUCUGCCCGCACAGUCAAGAUGGCUUAACUUAUACAAUACAGACAGUUGGGAGAUGAGGUCUGAGACAGGGAGAGGAUGCGAUGAGAUACAUGUGUAUGGUCAUGUCAGGCUUCAGGAUCUCCAGUGACACCUUCUUCAGCAAGUAGAUGUCCAAGACCAGCCAUACAGGAAAUUCACUCCCUGUAAAAGCAUCUUCAGCCAAGCUCAAGUCAAGACUUUCACAGCACCAAACAAGCACCAACUCCAAUGCUUCGCUGAUCACGAAGAACGUGGACACUUCCUGCCAAAAUAUGGAUCCCUCAAGCAGCAUCACCACCAUUAUUCAAGGUUUCUCCUGAAGUCCUGCGGAGUACACUGUUCUACAAACCCAGACCAAACCAGCUCUUUUCAGAGCCCUCAAAAGAGGGCAGAACUUGUUGCUGUUUAGAGCAACAUUUGACAAGUACACAAGGCUGUAGCCUUGUUGCUUUUUAGGGCAAAAUUUGUUGCUUUUAAGAGCAACAUUU